GAUGAAGAACGCAGCGAAAUGCGAUACGUAAUGUGAAUUGCAGAUCUCUCAGUGAAUCAUCGAAUCUUUGAACGCACAUUGCGCCCGCCAGUAUUCUGGCGGGCAUGCCUGUUCGAGCGUCAUUACAACCCUCAGGCCCCCGGGCCUGGCGUUGGGGAUCGGCGGAAGCCCCCUGCGGGCACAACGCCGUCCCCCAAAUACAGUGGCGGUCCCGCCGCAGCUUCCAUUGCGUAGUAGCUAACACCUCGCAACUGGAGAGCGGCGCGGCCACGCCGUAAAACACCCAACUUCUGAAUGUUGACCUCGAAUCAGGUAGGAAUACCCGCUGAACUUAAGCAUAUCAAUAAGCGGAGGA
rnacentral:misc_RNA from 1 species